UUAAUUUGAAUAUAUAUUGGGGGACUUGUAGGGGCAUUAUCACAUACGUAUAGAAAAUAUACCAAACUAAAGCAUGAACCAAAGAAUCUUGUUGCUGCUUCUACUUUUGCUCAAUUUCGAUUGGAGUUGUUCAUCUAAAGGACGGAGCUUGAAAAAAAUUCGGCAAUUUUGGAGAAAAUUUUACAAACCAUUCAGAGGAAAUGAGAACAUACAGAGAAACUUUCUGAACAUGGAAAGAGAAAGUAUUGAGGAAAUGAUGGCCGAUGAAAUCUUCAGAAACUUUGAGUAAACUUCUAUUCGUGAAAAGCGACAAUGCUAAAAUACAGAAAUAAAUGACCUUUAGAAA